GUCAGCAUGGUGUAGUGGUUUGAGUGCUGGACUAUGAUUCUGGAGGCUAGGGUUCGAAUCUCCACUUGGCCA